rnacentral:rRNA from 1 species
GUGGGGAAUAUUGGACAAUGGGCGAAAGCCUGAUCCAGCCAUGCCGCGUGUGUGAAGAAGGUCUUCGGAUUGUAAAGCACUUUAAGUUGGGAGGAAGGGCAGUAAGUUAAUACCUUGCUGUUUUGACGUUACCGACAGAAUAAGCACCGGCUAACUUCGUGCCAGCAGCCGCGGUAAUACGAAGGGUGCAAGCGUUAAUCGGAAUUACUGGGCGUAAAGCGCGCGUAGGUGGUUUUGUAAGUUGGAGGUGAAAUCCCCGGGUUCAACCUGGGAACUGCCUCCAAAACUGCAUGACUAGAGUACGGUAGAGGGUAGUGGAAUUUCCUGUGUAGCGGUGAAAUGCGUAGAUAUAGGAAGGAACACCAGUGGCGAAGGCGACUACCUGGACUGAUACUGACACUGAGGUGCGAAAGCGUGGGGAGCAAACAGGAUUAGAAACCCUUGUAGUCC